ACACAGACACACUCAACCUCAUUCAACCACACAGUUCGUUUUGUUCAGAGAUUGGGAGGGCAAAAGCCUCGCCGCCUCCACACAAGAAUGGAGAGCAGAAGAAGAAUGGAUGUUGCACAGAUUUGUCUGCAGCCGCCACCUUCGUAUGCACUAUUUCGCACCGCCGAAUGCAGUAUUUACCGAGCUCUCAAAACAGGAGGAGAGAUGAUGAUUCGGAGGAGAAGGAUGACUGAAUCGUCUCUAUCCGCGCGCAUAACCGUACGAUUUCGCACACU
ensembl:ncRNA T12B3.7 ncRNA